rnacentral:rRNA from 1 species
UGAUCUAACCUGCCGCGUGAGUGAUGAAGGCCUUAUGGUCGUAAGCUCUUUCGCCUGUGAUGAUAAUGACAGUAGCAGGUAAAGAAACCCCGGCUAACUCCGUGCCAGCAGCCGCGGUAAUACGGAGGGGGUUAGCGUUGUUCGGAAUUACUGGGCGUAAAGCGCGCGUAAGCGGAUUAGAAAGUUGGGGGUGAAAUCCCGGGGCUCAACCCCGGAACUGCCUCCAAAACUGCUAGUCUAGAGUUCGAGAGAGGUGAGUGGAAUUCCGAGUGUAGAGGUGAAAUUCGUAGAUAUUCGGAGGAACACCAGUGGCGAAGGCGGCUCACUGGCUCGAUACUGACGCUGAGGUGCGAAAGUGUGGGGAGCAAACAGGAUUAGAUACCCUGGUAGUCCACACCGUAAACGAUGAAUGCCAGUCGUCGGGUAGUAUACUAUUCGGUGACACACCUAACGGAUUAAGCAUUCCGCCUGGGGAGUACGGUCGCAAGAUUAAAACU